rnacentral:rRNA from 1 species
GCAAGUCGCGGGAGAGCCGCUUCCCUUCGGGGAAGCGGGGAGACCGGCGGAUGGGUGAGUAACGCGUAGGUAAUCUGCCUAUAGCACGGGGAUAACAUCGCGAAAGCGGUGCUAAUACCGGAUAAUGCAGCGGGGCCGCAUGGCCACAGUUGUUAAACCCUUCGGGGGGCUAUAGAUGAGCCUGCGUGCCAUUAGUUAGUUGGUGGGGUCAGAGCCUACCAAGACGAUAAUGGCUAGGGGGUCUGAGAGGAUGAUCCCCCACACUGGGACUGAGACACGGCCCAGACUCCUACGGGAGGCAGCAGUGAGGAAUCUUGCGCAAUGGAGGAAACUCUGACGCAGCCACGCCGCGUGCUGGAAGACGGCCCUACGGGUUGUAAACAGCUUUUAGCAGGGAAGAACCCGGGUCUUUCGAGACCCGCUGACGGUACUUGGUGAAUAAGCACCGGCUAACUCCGUGCCAGCAGCCGCGGUAAUACGGAGGGUGCAAGCGUUGUCCGGAAUCAUUGGGUGUAAAGGGUGCGUAGGCGGAAGUCUAAGUCGGAGGUGAAAGUUUGCCGCUUAACGGUAAAAGUGCCUUCGAUACUGGAUUUCUUGAGUUCGGAAGAGGUUGGUGGAAUUCGUGGUGUAGCGGUGAAAUGCAUAGAUAUCACGAAGAACACCGGUGGCGAA